GAUGAACGCUAGCUACAGGCUUAACACAUGCAAGUCGAGGGACCGGCGUACGGGUGAGUAACGCGUAUCCAACCUUCCCAUUACUGUGGGAUAACCUGCCGAAAGGCAGACUCAUACCGCAUAGUAAUGGAUGGGGAUGCGUCGGAUUAGCUUGUUGGCGGGGUAACGGCCCACCAAGGCGACGAUCAGUAGGGGUUCUGAUAGGCAGGUACCCCACAAUGGAACUAAGACACGGUCCAAACUCGUACGGGAGGCAGCAGUGAGGAAUAUUGGUCGAUGGAGGGAAGUCUGAACCAGCCAAGUAGCGUGCAGGAUGACGGCCUUUGGGUUGUAAACUGCUUUUGUAGGGGGAUAGGUACCAUAUGAAUAAGGACCGGCUAAUUCCGUGCCAGCAGCCGCGGUAAUAC
rnacentral:rRNA from 1 species